rnacentral:tRNA from 6 species
GGGCCUAUAGCUCAGUUGGUUAGAGCAGGGGACUCAUAAUCCCUUUGUCCAAGGUUCAAGUCCUUGUAGGCCCACCA